GUGUUUGACAGUUGGGAUCAGCGUGAGAGCAGAUCAGAAGAGACGGACGUCAGAAGGACCAAAGCCUCGAUCAGGGACGAAGGUUUGAUUUCAUUGUGGGGACAUGUAUGGACAUAUGGACAUGUAUGGAUGAACGCGGCCCGUCGAGCUGACAGGAAAUGGGAUGGAUUUAGGGAAGUGUGUGUAAUUUUCAUGAUGGCGGCGACAGUAACCACGGCAGAGAUCAUCGGGGUUUGAUGUCACACAGAGCGCGCUCAGUGACGGGCUGAAACACUCAAACACACGUUCACACGUCCUUUCUGUAGAAGCGGUUUUAUUGUUUCGUGUCGUUUCCUGUUUUCACAUUACUGUGUCAGAGUGACCGCCAAAAUAAAAGUGUUUCUAAUUCAGUGCCCUCUGAUCACACUGAAACACCGUGUGUGUGUGUGUGUGUGUGUGUGUGUGUGUUUGUGUGUUUUACUGUUCUCACUUCCUCCUUCAGUGUCGUGGUCGUCAGUCUGAUUGUCUCGUCUGAUUUCAUCGGUUGUUUUUGUCCCCGGUUGAUUUUUGAGCCUCAUUAUUCUCUCAGCUGAGUGGGCGGAGCGAUCAUGGCGGUCCUGCUCUGGUUCCUGAUCCUGAUGGCGAUGAAGACGGCGAUGGCGAGCUACGCUGCUGAGGUGGUCUCAGCUCACAGCGGGGGGGCGGCGCUGCUGACAUCACAGCUGUGGACGCUGCGGCGCCG